UAUAUGUAGAACUAGAAGUGUUUGUUAAGAGAUUAAAAGUGAUCUGUUUGAAGCGAUCAAACAGGUGUCAGCAAUUUCGCUGUAAUAAUAAUUAUGAGCGACGUAUCUGGGAAUCUGGCAAAAAUAACAAGAUUAUACGAAUUAUUCGUAUUUUACUGGUGUUAACAAGUGGUUACGUCAUACAGAAGAGGAAGAACGCCUUCUUGGAAAAUAUACUGCAUCACAACAGCGUAGAGAUGGCUACAUAUCAGAAUUUUCCUUUAGAUAUGAAUGCAAAUCGCUGCUUUAUAUUUAAUCCUGUGAAAGGAUUGAGAAAUAUUUUGGUACUAACCAGUGGGUAAUGGUACCGGUUCCGUCGUGGGAUGAUGAGAAAGGGCUUCCCCUGGAUACGAAAACGCUCCUCCAGGAAUCGGCGAAAACGAGCCACCACUGCUUACUGGUGGAGCUGGAUAAGAAGAUGCUGCAGAUGGGUCCAGCGUAAGAAUCACAAGGUCUACGUCAUUUAUACCAAGUAAUUAUCCGAUAUUAAUUAUCAUCUCUUGAAAUAUUUAUCGCAGAGUUCGCGACUUCCGUCGGACGUGAAAUGAAUUUCCAACUACCUACCUCCGCGGUAAUGACGAGACGAGCAACCGGUAAAAGUUACGGAAAUACAGAGAGGAAAAUAUCGCACGCUGAGUCAACGAUGAUUCGGCAAAAUUAUUACUCGCCAUUAUUCCGUCGAAGCUGA
rnacentral:misc_RNA from 1 species